rnacentral:lncRNA from 1 species
UCGGCUGUUACCCAACCCUCUCCCUCCUACUACUGCUGUUACCCAACCCUCUCCCUCCUACUACUGCUGUUAUCCAACCCUCUCCCUCCUACUACUGCUGUUAUCCAACCCUCUCCCUCCUACUACUGCUGUUAUCCAACCCUCUCCCUCCUACUACUGCUGUUACCCAACCCUCUCCCUCCUACUACUGCUGUUAUCCAACCCUCUCCCUCCUACUACUGCUGUUACCAACCCUCUCCCUCCUACUACUGCUGUUAUCCAACCCUCUCACUCCUACUACUGCUGUUACCCAACCCUCUCACUCCUACUACUGCUGUUAUCCAACCCUCUCCCUCCUACUACUGCCGUUACCCAACCCUCUCACUCCUCCUACUACUGCUGUUAUCCAACCCUCUCACUCCUCCUACUACUGCUGUUAUCCAACCCUCUCCCUCCUACUACUGCUGUUAUCCAACCCUCUCACUCCUACUACUGCUGUUACCCAACCCUCUCACUCCUACUACUGCUGUUAUCCAACCCUCCUACUACUGCUGUUAUCCAACCCUCCUACUACUGCUGUUAUCCAACCCUCCUACUACUGCUGCUACCCAACCCUCUCCCUCCUACUACUGCUGUUACCCAACCCUCUCACUCCUACUACUGCUGUUACCCAACCCGCUCACUCCUACUACUGCCUUUACCCAACCCUCUCACUCCUACUACUGCCGUUACCCAACCCUCUCACUCCUACUACUGCUGUUACCCAACCCUCUCACUCCUACUACUGCUGUUAUCCAACCCUCUCCCUCCUACUACUGCCGUUCCCCAACCCUCUCACUCCUCCUACUACUGCUGUUAUCCAACCCUCUCACUCCUCCUACUACUGCUGUUAUCCAACCCUCUCCCUCCUACUACUGCUGUUAUCCAACCCUCUCACUACUACUACUGCUGUUACCCAACCCUCUCACUCCUACUAGUGCUGUUAUCCAACCCUCCUACUACUGCUGUUAUCCAACCCUCCUACUACUGCUGCUACCCAACCCUCUCCCUCCUACUACUGCUGUUACCCAACCCUCUCACUCCUACUACUGCUGUUACCCAACCCGCUCACUCCUACUACUGCCUUUACCCAACCCUCUCACUCCUACUACUGCCGUUACCCAACCCUCUCACUCCUACUACUGCCGUUACCCAACCCUCUCACUCCUCCUACUACUGCUGUUAUCCAACCCUCUCACUCCUCCUACUACUGCUGUUAUCCAACCCUCUCCCUCCUACUACUGCUGUUAUCCAACCCUCUCACUCCUACUACUGCUGUUACCCAACCCUCUCACUCCUACUACUGCUGUUAUCCAACCCUCCUACUACUGCUGUUAUCCAACCCUCCUACUACUGCUGUUAUCCAACCCUCCUACUACUGCUGUUAUCCAACCCUCCUACUACUACUGCUACCCAACCCUCUCCCUCCUACUACUGCUGUUACCCAACCCUCUCACUCCUACUACUGCUGUUACCCAACCCUCUCACUCCUACUACUGCCUUUACCCAACCCUCUCACUCCUACUACUGCCGUUACCCAACCCUCUCACUCCUACUACUGCCGUUACCCAACCCUCUCACUCCUACUACUGCCGUUACCCAACCCUCUCACUCCUACUACUGCCGUUACCCAACCCUCUCACUCCUACUACUGCCGUUACCCAACCCUCUCACUCCUACUACUGCCGUUACCCAACCCUCUCACUCCUACUACUGCCGUUACCCAACCCUCUCACUCCUACUACUGCUGUUACCCAACCCUCUCACUCCUACUACUGCUGUUACCCAACCCUCUCACUCCUACUACUGCUGUUACCCAACCCUCUCACUCCUACUACUGCUGUUACCCAACCCUCUCACUCCUACUACUGCUGUUACCCAACCCUCUCACUCCUACUACUGCUGUUACCCAACCCUCUCACUCCUACUACUGCUGUUACCCAACCCUCUCACUCCUACUACUGCCGUUACCCAACCCUCUCACUCCUACUACUGCCGUUACCCAACCCUCUCACUCCUACUACUGCCGUUACCCAACCCUCUCACUCCUACUACUGCCGUUACCCAACCCUCUCACUCCUACUACUGCCGUUACCCAACCCUCUCACUCCUACUACUGCCGUUACCCAACCCUCUCACUCCUACUACUGCCGUUACCCAACCCUCUCACUCCUACUACUGCUGUUACCCAACCCUCUCACUCCUACUACUGCUGUUACCCAACCCUCUCACUCCUACUACUGCUGUUACCCAACCCUCUCACUCCUACUACUGCUGUUACCCAACCCUCUCACUCCUACUACUGCUGUUACCCAACCCUCUCACUCCUACUACUGCUGUUACCCAACCCUCUCACUCCUACUACUGCUGUUACCCAACCCUCUCACUCCUACAACUGCUGUUACCCAACCCUCUCACUCCUACUACUGCUGUUACCCAACCCUCUCACUCCUACUACUGCUGUUACCCAACCCUCUCACUCCUACUACUGCCGUUACCCAAUCAUUGUAUCAUCAAUCUGAAGAUGAUGUUGAAUUGAUUCAUUUAAAAAAAAACGUUGAUCGUUUUAAUGUUUACCCUCACACAUCCUUUAUGAAAAAGAUGUCUUUUGCUACCUGUAUUAUUGCCAAAAAAAGGUUGAUUUGA